rnacentral:lncRNA from 1 species
CCUUGAGCUACUUUACAAUCUAGCUUAUAACCUGCUUGAGUUCCUGUCCUGACUUCCUUCAGUGAUGAGUAAUGCCAUGAAAGUGUAAACCCAACAAACCCUCUCUUCUGUAAGUUGCUUUUGGUCAUGGCGUCUCAUCUCAUCAACAGUAACCCUAACUAAGAUGUGCGUCGUGUGAGAAAAUGAAUAUUUUCAAAGGUUCAUCUUGAGAAUAGGAGCCGUAUUUUCAACGGCAAAUCAACCAAAUCAAAACUGCCAAGAACAUGUGUAAUAAGAAGGAAGAUGUGUAAUAAGAAGCCACAUCAAAAUGUCCGCAGGGAUUUCCUCUGGGCUGUGACCUGGGGUUGGUCUGUGUCUUCUUGUCUUUUCCUUGCCUGCAAAUUUCAGGCAGGACCAUUUUAUGAGUUAAAAGAACGGCCCUAACAGUGAGCGCCAGCUGACAUGGUAGGAGGAGCCGUAUGCCAUAGAACCCUGACUAAUUGGGUCCUUUCUGAGUUCCACUUCAGUCCCCUUUUUAAAGUAACCCUGCUUUGAGAACAGUGCCUGUGACUUGCUACAGUAUCAACAGCAACAACACUGUGAAGUGCUAAGUCAUCCAUGAGGGAGGCCCUGAGGGGGAGCAGCCGUUCACCUGGACUCACUCUCCCCCAAGCAGGAGAAACAUAGCAAUAAGCCCUUCUCAACAGAGUAACAGAGUAACUCAGCUGCCUUCACAGAGUAUAAGUCUCAGGCCAUGUGGUACAGUCCCCACAAAAAACGCAGACUUUGGAGUCUAAAAGUCGAUUUCAGUCAUGAUUCCGCCACUGGACUGCUAUGUGAUCUUUGACAAAUUUUGUACCCUCAUCUGUGAGGCAUGGAGGAUAUCUGUUUAAAGCUAACUAUGAGCAACUGAAGAACAGAAAAUAGCCAUCCUGUGCACAUAGCGGUCUGUGCAGCUAUUACUGGGACAGCCCAUCCUGGGGCUGUGGUCUCUGCAGCUUUUACUGGGACAGAAGAAAGCCCCCUGUGUGUGAGCAAGACCCCAUGUGAGCUAAUAGCUCUGAUACCUAAUUCAAGAAAUCCAUCUUCCUCAGGAGUGAUUGUCACCCCCCGGCCUGAAGUUAUGACUAGCUGUGACGGAACAGCAACCUUGGGGUAUAGAAUCUUGUUAAUGUCGCUGAGUGGUUCUGUAAGCAAGGAGUCGGUACAGUUGCAGCACACCAAUUAACUUCACCCCUCAUUAGUAAUGUGUGCCUGCAGAUGUGAUUUUCUUAUCUUAUCCCACUAGGAUGCCAUCCG